AUUGAACGCUGGCGGCAUGCUUUACACAUGCAAGUCGAACGGUAACAGGCCGCAAGGUGCUGACGAGUGGCGAACGGGUGAGUAAUGCAUCGGAACGUGCCCAGUCGUGGGGGAUAACGCAGCGAGAGCUGCGCUAAUACCGCAUACGAUCUAUGGAUGAAAGCGGGGGACCGUAAGGCCUCGCGCGAUUGGAGCGGCCGAUGUCAGAUUAGGUAGUUGGUGGGGUAAAGGCUCACCAAGCCAACGAUCUGUAGCUGGUCUGAGAGGACGACCAGCCACAGUGGGACUGAGACACGGCCCAGACUCCGACGGGAGGCAGCAGUGGGGAAUUUUGGACAAUGGGCGCAAGCCUGAUCCAGCAAUGCCGCGUGCAGGAAGAAGGCCUUCGGGUUGUAAACUGCUUUUGUACGGAACGAAACGGUCCGGGUUAAUACCCUGGGCUAAUGACGGUACCGUAAGAAUAAGCACCGGCUAACUACGUGCCAGCCGCCGCCGUAACAC
rnacentral:rRNA from 1 species